UGUGUCCUGAGACCCAGCAUGAUGCCUAAGGGGUGGAAAGGAGGAAGAACAGAACGGUGACAUGUGCCCAAAUGAAGCGAAGCAGACGGCAUCCUUGCCACGGGCCUGAGGGAGGUUCAGUGAAGGGAGGAGUCACUCCCUAUAGUGGUCUUAAACUACAGCUGAGAACCACCUACCAGCCAAGUUUGCACAGUGCUUAGUAAACAUGCAUUUUCCUGCCUUUGCCUGAGAGCAACUAAGUGAGGGGGUCUGGGGACUGGGCAGGUCCUGACACCUGCUUCUGGAAAUUCCUUUACACACCAAAGCUCAGGAGUCAUGGCCCAAGGCGACACCCACCUUUCACUGGAUAGGUGUCCAGUGAAACAGAGAAAGAGGAUUUAGGGUCUAUUCAGAAACAGACAACCAGUUUGUCCAGCACCCUCACUUCCUGCCACAUCUCACAUUAGCCCCUUUGUUCUGGAGUCCCUGAUUCUUACACAACCUGGCUGUGGGAGAACAUUUCUUUCAUUGGAGGGAUUUGGAGAACCAGCUAAGCGUGGAGGCGGUGAGAACCAGCUAAGUGUGGAGGCCGUGGACGCCAUGUUUCUUUCCCACGAUCGACUGAGCUCUGUGAACUUCCCUGGAGCCUUUGUUGGCGAAGUUGUCCAGGAGAUACUAAAUGUACUGAGAUCAGAUGGCCGUAUGAAGAUGCUUUUCUACCUGGUUGUCUGUUUGGAUCCAGUGAUUUAUAUCUCUGUUCUUGUGCCAGAACCAUGCUGUUUUGGUUACCGUAACCCUGCAAGAUAGUCUGAAGUCUGCAAAAGUGAGGCUUCCUGAUUUCUCCUUUUUGCUGACAAUAACAUACACUGGGGAAAAGAAUUCCUAUUCAAUAAGUGGUGCUGGGAAAAUUGGAUAGCCACAGGCAGAAGAUUGACACAGGAUUGUCACCUCUCACCCUUCACAAAAAUUAAUUCAAGAUUGAUAACAGACUUAGACCCAAGGCCUGUAACUAUAAUAAUUACAGAUGAAAAUGUUGGAAAAAGUCUUACAGACAUCAGCCUAGGCAAAGAAUUUAUGAAGAAGACUCUAAAGGCAAUCACAGCAACAAUAAAAAUUGUACCUGAUUAAAUUAUAAAGCUUCUGCCUAGCCAAGGAAACAAUCUUUAGUGUGAAUAGACAACCUAUGGAAUGGAAGAAGAUACUUGCACACUAUAUAUUGGUAAAGGGCUGAUAACUAGAAUCUACAAAGAACUCAAGCAAUUCGGCAAGAAAAAAAAUCAAACUCCCAAAAAAGUGGACAAAGACACGAACAAAAGCUUUUUAAAAGAAGAUGAAUUAAUGGCCAAUAAACAUAUAAAGAAUGUUCAUUUCUAAUCAUCAGGGAAAUGCAAAUUAAAACCACAAUGAGAUAUCACCUAAGUUCAUUGGGAAUAGCUUUGUUUUUUUUUUCCAAAAAAAUCCCAAAACAACAGAUGCUGGCAUGGAUACUUUAGAGAAAGGAACUUUGUACUGUUGAUGGGACUGCAAACUAGUACAACCUCUGUGGAAAGUCUUCAUGAAGAGACCUCAAAGAACUAAAGGUAGACCUACCAUCAGAUCUCGCAAUCACACUAUUGGGCAUUUACUCACAGGAAAAAAGUCAUUUUCUCCAAAAAACAUGUCUACUCAAAUUUUUGUGGCAUCACAAUUCACAAUCACAAAGAGGUGGGAACCAACCCAAGUGCCCAUCAGUACAUAAGUGGAUUAAUAAAUGUGUAUGCCAUAGAGUAAUAAUCAGCAUUAAAAAUGGUGAAGUAAUACCUUUUGUAACAACCUGGAUGGAAAUGGAGACCAUUCUCCUAAGUGAAGUAUUACAAGAAUGGAAAAACAAAAACCACAUAUACUUGCUAUUAAACUGGAACUCAUUGAUCAACUCGUGUGCACAUUUGGUAAUAAAACUCAAUGGACGGCAAGAGGUGGGGUGGGGGGCAAGCAGGGGAAGGGGAAAUUCAUGCCUAACAGGUGGAAUGGACACUUUCUGGGUGAUGGGCGUAGGAUGACUCAAGGGUACAAAAGCAAUUCAUGUAACCAAAAUAUUUGCACCCCAAAAAUAUUCUGAAAUAAAUAAAUAAAAAUAAAUUGAUUCACUA